rnacentral:rRNA from 1 species
CAGAGUACGUGAACCGUUCAGGGGUAAACCUGCGAAACUCGAAUGAACGAACGGAGAGAUUCAUCGUCAUUCCGCGGCGUACUAGCCCGCGCCUCGAUGCGCGCGCGUUUCGGCGCGCGCGCACGGGUCGGGCGUGUCGACGUCCGCGGACGGCGUGCACUUCUCUCUCAGUACACAAAUACAUCGCGACCCGUUCGACUCCACUGUCUAAGCGCGGUCCGGGAGCCGAGCGGCGGCGUCUCAACAACGUCAGCCGUUCGACCGCGACCGUGGCCGACAGUAGUCGGACGGUAGUUUUCGACUAGAAUCGCGCACGCGCCUCGCGCGCGUCAGGCCCGACGCAAGUGUUCGUGUCGUCGCCCGUUUCCUGCCUAUGUGCGGACGCGGGCGCGGCGCCGCUGUCGUCGCAGCCGGCACAGUCUCUGACCGUGCGCGUAUCUGUCGGCGAUGUUUCAGUUUCGGGCACUCGCAGGACCCGUCUUGAAACACGGACCAAGGAGUCUAGCAUGUGUGCGAGUCA